rnacentral:rRNA from 1 species
GAUGAACGCUGGCGGUAUGCUUAACACAUGCAAGUCGAACGGACUCUUCGGAGUUAGUGGCGGACGGGUGAUUAACGCGUGAGAAUCUGGCUUUGGGUUCGGUACAACCACUGGAAACGUUGGCUAAUACCGGAUGUGCCGAGAGGUAAAAGAGAAAUUGCCUGAAGAUUAGCUCGCGUCUGAUUAGCUAGUUGGUGAGGUAAAGGCUCACCAAGGCAGCGAUCAGUAGCUGGUCUGAGAGGAUGACCAGACACAGUGGGACUGAGACACGGCCCAGACUCAUGCGGGAGGGAGCAGUGGAGAAUUUUCCGAAAGGGGGGAAAGCCUGACGGAGCAAUAGCGCGUGAGGGAAGAAGGCUCUUGGGUUGUAAACCUCUUGUCUUAGGGAAGAAGAAAAUGACGGUAACUAAGGAAGAAGCAUCGGCUAACUCCGUG